rnacentral:rRNA from 1 species
AUUGAACGCUGGCGGCAGGCCUAACACAUGCAAGUCGAACGAGUGGCGGACGGGUGAGUAAUGUCUGGGAAACUGCCUGCUGGAGGGGGAUAACUACUGGAAACGGUAGCUAAUACCGCAUACCAUCAGAUGUGCCCAGAUGGGAUUAGAUAGUUGGUGGGGUAACGGCUCACCAAGGCGCCGAUCCCUAGCUUGUCUGAGAGGAUGACCAGCCAAGCUGGAAGUGAUACACGGUCCAGACUCCUACGGGAGGGAGCAUUGGGGAAUAUUGCACAAGGGGCGCAAGCCUGAGGCAGCCAUGCCGCGUGUAUGAAGAAGGCCUUCGGGUUUUAAAGUACUUUCAGCGGGGAGGCGUUACCCGCAGAAGAAGCACCGGCUAACUCCGUGCCAGCAGCCGCGGUAAUAC